ensembl:snoRNA SNORA70 Small nucleolar RNA SNORA70
CUUCAAAGAACUCACAUUCAGGUGCAAUGGUUGCAGACAGUAUUUCCUUGGUUGUAUGUGUACCUUGUCCUUAAUACAUGGUGUUAUAAGGGACCUCAGAGACACUU